GACGGGGUUUUUCCGUGUUGGCCAGGCUGUUCUCAAACUCCUGACCUCAGGUGAUCUGCUCGCCUCGGCCUUCCAAAGUGCUGGGGUUACAGGCAUGAGCCACCGCCCCUGGCCUAACACUUGACUUUUAAGGGGCCAAUAUCACUGUGAUUCUAAAAUUUAAGGAGAUGUUAAUGCCGGCCUCUGCAACUACACUUGGAAGAUCCUUCCCAGCAACUGACAACUUGGCCCCUCCACCCCUCCUUCCAGACCUUCCGUGGACACCCUUAAUCACUGCAAGAGCAGCCUGUGCCGUGCUUGAUCAGACAGUGGAACAGCUGAGACCGAG
rnacentral:lncRNA from 10 species